UGGUUGUGAACUGCUAUGUGGAUGCUGGGUAUCGAGCACAGGCCUGAAGGAGAAUUCCAAGCGACCUACCCAAGCUUCCAGAAUGCCAGGAUUAUAGGUGUAUACUGACAUGCCUGGCCUCCUACUGCUUUAUACAUUUUUUUUUUACAUGUAUGUGUUCAUUUAUACAUCUUGUGGGCAUGUCUAUGGGCUUCCAGUAUGGAGGUCAGAAGAUAGAAUGCAGGAAUUGCUUCUCCAGCUGUGUGGGUUUAGGGGAUUUAAUACAGGCUGUUGUGUCUGGCAGAGAGUGCCUUUACUCACUGAACCAUAGCUCAAUAGCUAUAACUUCUUUAAAAGACAUAUUAAGUAUUUCUUUUUAGCAAAGGAGAGUUCUGUCUGUCUGUACACCUACAGGCCAGAAGAGGGCAUCAAACCCCAUAGACAUGGUUGUGAGCUAACACCGUGUGGUUGCUGGGAAUUGAAUUCAGGACCUCUGCCUAAGCAGCCAGUGCUCUUAACCACUGAGCCAUGUCACCAGCCCAAUGGAUAUGACUUAGUUUUGUUUUGUUUUUUAACUCUUGGGGGGUCAAGAACUAGUCUGAAAGCCAUACAAUAUUAAGACUUUUUUCUCUAGUGAGCCAAAUGUCAUAACUUCCUACCAGACUGGUACCACAAAGUAUGUCUGUAUGUCUCUGUUCAAAUUUUUGUUAUC
rnacentral:lncRNA from 1 species